rnacentral:rRNA from 1 species
UACGUAGGCAGCAAGCGUUGUUCGGAGUUACUGGGCGUAAAGGGUGUGUAGGCGGUUCUUUAAGUUUGGUGUGAAAUCUCCCGGCUCAACUGGGAGGGUGCGCCGAAAACUGGAGAGCUAGAGUGCGGGAUGGGAGAGUGGAAUUCCUGGUGUAGCGGUGAAAUGCGUAGAUAUCGGGAGGAACACCAGUGGCGAAGGCGGCUACCUGGCCCACUCUUGACGCUGAGGCGCGAAAGCUAGGGGAGCAAACGGG